rfam:Glycine max cultivar Williams 82 chromosome 17, whole genome shotgun sequence.
UUUUUAUUGGAUGAUGAUUGUCACGUGUUAUGUUCUGAUUGGUUGGAUGUCACAACAUGACACGUGACCGUCAACAUUA